rnacentral:rRNA from 1 species
UACAGAGGUCUCAAGCGUUGUUCGGAUUCAUUGGGCGUAAAGGGUGCGUAGGCGGCGCGGUAAGUCGGGUGUGAAAUCUCGGAGCUUAACUCCGAAACUGCAUUCGAUACUGCCGUGCUUGAGGACUGGAGAGGAGACUGGAAUUUCCGGUGUAGCGGUGAAAUGCGUAGAUAUCGGAAGGAACAUCAGUGGCGAAGGCGACUUCCUGGACCAAUACUGACGCUCAGGUGCGAAAGCGUGGGGAGCAAACAGG